ACGUGUGUUGUAUAUAUUACAACAGUUACGUGUGUUGUAUAUAUUACGACAGUUACGUGUGUUGUAUAUAUUACGACAGUUACGUGUGUUGUAUAUAUUACAACAGUUACGUGUGUUGUAUAUAUUACAGGUUAAGGAGGGAGACUAUAUCAUCUAGUGUUUUAAUAAUUCAGCAUGUUUGAAAAUAUUGAGGAGAUUACAUAAAAACAUUAGGUGUAACUAUCAUAUCUACACAUUUAUCAUUUUUUACCUGCCUACCUACUGCAGGUAAUUCUUCCUUUGUGUUUCUUUGUUGUUGUUUUCGAACUAAAACUUCAGAUAUUAUAAGUUCUAAACUGAACCCGAAACUAGGUUUUCUUCUACUCUUCAAGAGUUACUAAAUCGUUAGGCGACGCGAUUCAAGUGGAUUCUUUACACGUUAUCACGAUAACGACCAGAAAAGUAACCAAUAAAAAUAAACCGACAAAACAGCGGGUAAGUUAUGCUCUAAUGGAAAGACUCCGUUCUAGAACAGUCUGAGCUCAUGGGCGUGAUCCUGUAGGAUAUAUAUAUGUGUGUGUGUGUAUGUAUGAGUGUGUACACACAAACCUUUAAGUAAUAAUCUACCUCUCGAUCAAACGAGACUGACUCCAUAGAAACCUAAGCUGUUACACUAUAUUGUGGUUUAAGAUUCAACUGUCGUUAUCUUUACAAGUUGUCAUUAAAUAUGUUCCUUACGUCGGUGACAGUAAACGCGCCAUGGACGAGUACACGUCAGAGAUCAUGAUGGGAGGUCAUAACACUAUUGUUGUCCAUAACACUUGUGAAGACUCCUUGCUGGCUAGUCCGAUUAUUCUUGACCUGGUCAUUCUGACAGAGCUGUGUCAGAGGAUUACCUUCCGUGUAGGUGACUCUCUAAAGUUCCAGUCUUUCAACAGCGUCCUGUCCAUUCUAAGUUACCUGUGUAAGGCCCCCUUGGUGCCACGUGACGCCCCCGUGGUGAACUCCCUGUUCAGACAGCGGUCAUGUAUUGAAAAUAUCUUACGAGCUUGUUUAGGCUUAGCUCCACAAAAUCACAUGGGCUUAGAAAACAAACUAAGUAACCCGGUCGAUUGGGAAGAACAGCAAGAUAUAAACGUUACAAAGAAGUCACACGUGAACGGUGUGACCAACAUUCGCGAGUUUUAUGUUAAAAAUAUUGUUAACGGAUCGUAGCCGUGGAAAAAGUUUUUAUCUUAAAGACUAGAAAAAAUAAUUUAACACUAUAUUAGUGCAUUGUUGUAAUUAAGCAUUAUUAAUGUUUGUUCAAUAUGUGUCAAAUAUCGUAUUGUUAUAAUUAACUAUGAUUAGGGGUUCAAAACGUUUCAAAUAUUUUAAAUAGUUAGCCAUUAUUAAAGUUGUUCAACAUGCUUGACAGACUUUAUUGUCAUAAUUAAUAAUUGUUAUGUAUUAUU